GGUUUUUUUUCAUGAAAGGGUGGAACUUUCCUUUCAAAAAGAUGAAAUGCAUAAUAAUAAUAAUAAUAAAAUAGCAGACUUGUUGAGGCAAACACAUUGAAGUCAUUCAGAAAAAUAACUGCAUGACAUCAUGGGAGAAAGAUAGAACCAAAAAAGGACAAGUUUUGUAGGCCAAAUAGCUUCUAUUCAUCCCCAAAGAAUUUGUCCUACACACACAAGGAUGGGGAGAAAGAAAGAAAGAAAUAAAACCUUCAUCCUUGGAAACUCACAAAACACAAAUAUGUUGUCCCAGAUAGAAAAGGUCAAAAAAGUAAAAAAAUAAAAUAAAGCCAUGACUCUAAUCAGGAAUGCUCACUGAGAAAUACUGACUUGUGCUUAAAAAAGCAGAGCUGAAAGUUCCUCCCAGUAAUCCAAAGAACUUGUGAAUCACUGUAUGCUCUUGUUAUCUUACAUUUUCAGCAAACUAGUAUUUGCAUAUAAAAGGAUGAUUUUUGACACAUUUUUCUAUCUUGAUUGCUCAGAGCUGCAGGAGGAGUUUUCCACCCUUACGAAUUCAGCAAGGUGAUUCCCAGGCACUUGCUUGGCACUGGGAAAUGUCAGAGGCACGAGCUGCUCCCCAGGCUGAUCUGUGCCCUAGAGCUUGUCCUGCUCUGAGGCACAUAAUGGUGGUGUCUGCACUGACCCACCUAGUUCAGGAGGAAAUGAAGCAUUUGGGUUCAGAAGGCUUCCAGGACCAAAGCACUACAUAAUCUCAGAAUGAAGGAGCUGCUCUUGUUGAGAAGAAAAGAGAACAACGAAGAAAAAGGUGUCAGAAGUUUACAAAAGCAGGAAGAGAGAAAUUAAAACAAAUCCUGUGUAAGCUGGUUUGAGUUGAGCAUUUCGCAACCGAUGUGGUUAAAAGUUCCCCGAUGAUUUUGACUGUGCCUUGGGCGUGUCGUGUAAUGGACCCACACAUACACAUGAUUAAUUAACUGCCAGUUAAGUACAGAACUUAUUUUCUCCAAAUAUAAAAUAUAGUUCUAUCCUGCCACGCUGUGCCACACUUAAAAGACUCUUUGAGGAAUUUACUCAAUCUUUAUUUAGAUGUGUUAAUCCUGGUAAAAAUGCAAAAAUAUUUUUGGUAGCUAAGCUUAAUGAGGUAAUAAUUACUCAUUCUUGUUUAACUUCUGCUAGAUUUAGUAUCUAAAUUUGGGACACGAAUAUAAAAUCUUUCCUGUGCCCACAUUUCCAGUUUUAAAGUACUUAGAAGAAUCCAGACUUAUUCCAGCAAUUUUCUGUACUAUAAAUCCAGAAUGAAUAUUCUGUUUCCACUUUCAAGUGUUAAAAAAUAAUUUCUUUUUUUCUUUCUAAGGUCUUUAUCUUAUUUAUUUCUAACAGAAUACUCAUUUAAUCACAUGGCAUUUGUGAUGACUUCUUAGUAGUGUGUACUGUUGCAGAGGUUCUAAGUUUGCAGAGUAGAGGCUUACUCUUAGUCUGGUUCUCUUACAAUUUUCUAUAUUAAAUAUGAGAAAAAAGCUCUUUCUGAACUGAAAUCAUGGGCAUUAUUUAUAACUUAAUUUAGAUCCGUGUAAUGUAGAAAGUAAGCAAAUUUGUUUCCAGUUUUUCACAUUGAUAAUUUUCAGUCUGUUUUCUAUUUUUCAUAAUCUUUUUAAUGUGUUGUCUUCCAUUAGCUGAGUUGUAUUAUUGCCAUUCACAACAUCAAGCCACAUGAGAGUGAGAAAUAGAGGACGGAAAGGAAAAGACUGUGGUGUAUGGAAUCUGUGAAUUCCACCAGUGCCCUUAAACUCCACAAACCGAGUGAGGUUCCAGAGUACCCUGCAGCAAACCUGGAUCAGAGAACAGCUAUUUGCUGAAUCUUUCCUAAAUAGUACUGGGGUGGCAGGUGUGUGAAAGGUGACAAGAAUUCGAGGCCAAAGUUUGAAAUGUUCGUGCACUGCGAAGGAAAUAAUUUUCAUGGCCUACACCAAAUCCCUUGAUCCAGUGGACUGAUGAUCAUUAGCAUCCUGCUUUCUUCACGCCCCAGUCAAGGUAGAAUGGGAAAAUACAGUUUUCUGCUCUCUGUGAAAAGAGCACGUGUUCAGAAAGAACCUGACUUUUGCUCUGGCCUGGAUGUAUAGAAGUAGUUUUGUAUGCAAGAAUCAGCUGUUGAAGCCUACAAGUUAUGCAGGUCCAGUGAAUUCAGUGGAGAUCCUUCUGACUGACAGCAGCAUCCAGGCACCUACUGACUGACAGAGCUGUGUGCAGUUUGGGUGAUUUGAAAUAGGCCUUUGAUUACAAAAGAAAGCUUUAAUACAAACAGCAGCAGCAUCAAAGCAAAAAUCUGGAUUUUGCUGACCUUAAUUGGCAUUUUAACAGUAGCAAUCCAUAACAAAUAGAAAUGCCCCUUCAGUGCAAUUACUGCAUUCACUUAUUUUUCUUGACACAUGGGGGCCAAUCCUGAAACAUCCCGAAUGGAUUUUUCUCAGCCUUUCCUAAAGCCCUUCAUAUGGGCCUUGUUGUAGAUGACAGAACACAUUUUGUCCUUUGUGUGUGUGUGUUUUGUUUUAAUUCUUAUCCUGACCUACAAACAAAAGAAAAGUUUUACUUAUAAAAAUCAGUGUUUAGAGACUAUUUUAUAUCGGUUCCUAUAGAAAGGCCAUGAUUUCAGUAAAAGGAUUCGGUCUGUCUGACUGAAGCUUAGAUACUUUAAACAGCAAAAAUGCAUCAAUACUACUUUACACUGGUGAAUUGUAGUCUCCUUCAUUAACAGCUAAAUUAAAAUAUUACAGCAGUAUUAACUGAAAGAUCAAAAUAGUUUUGUUUAAAGAUUUUCACGUGC